UACGAAGGGGGCUAGCGUUGCUCGGAAUGACUGGGCGUAAAGGGCGCGUAGGCGGCUUGCACAGUCAGGCGUGAAAUUCCUGGGCUCAACCUGGGGACUGCGCUUGAGACGUGUGGGCUUGAGUGGGGGAAGAGGGUCGGUGGAAUUCCCGAGUGUAGAGGUGAAAUUCGUAGAUAUUGGGAAGAACACCGGGUGGCGAAGGCGGCGACCUGGUC
rnacentral:rRNA from 1 species